UUGCGGUACCCACUGGGUGGUGUGAAGCUGGUUUCCCCAACAUCUGACACCCAAUGUGGGCCUCCCCGCUAAUCUCUACAAAUAAUCUGGUGAAGAAAUGCCAGAGCGUGGAAAGUGGAGGAUGACUGAAGAAGGACACAUGAGUACGUUUUCACUUCAGGCUCUACCGGAGAGAAUCAGCUUCCUCUCUGGGUACCCACAAGACAUCUUAAGCUGAGCCAGAAUCCAAGGAAGAGGAAAAGACUUCGGAACGUCCCUGCACCCCCAGUUCAUCAGAUGGCUCAGAUGAACGUCUCUGUUGAGCAGAUGGAAACCAGUAAACUCACCAAGCAACUCCACCAACCUGGGGGCAGUUUACAGAUGUGGAUAGUGCCUUGGGAGAGAAGCCAGACACCGUGAACAAGCCAUGAUAGCAAUGAUGGUUAUUAAUCAAGAAAAUGUUAAUAAAGACAAAAAAGGGGUACAUGUGGUAAAGAGAGUUUCUGGGGUGCCAGUUGAGUUGGUCUCCCCUGUGUGAGACACCCAUGGGAAGCCAUGAGUGGCCUCUGAGGAGAAAAGUCUCUUUAUUGCCUUCAUGUCUUUAUGCCCGGAGAGGGUAACUGCUCAGCAGCAUUCCACAGAUUGCUCAGGGAGAUAACUAACACUCCCUUGAAGCAGUGGAGUAUAAUCAAACAUCUUGGCUCCUCAUGAAACCCACUCCCAUCCAUUUCAGUCCUCAUAAGUUAAAGAUCUUAAGUAGUUUAGACACACGCCUUUGCUCAAGGAAAUUCACAGAAACUGCCACUGCUAUACAUCUUGUCAAAUGAUCAGGAGUUCUCCUUCACUGAUUAAUCCUUUUCCUCAUCCCUUCCUCCCCCUCCCAUCUGGCCUAAGAACAAAGAGCUUGUAAACCAAUAAA
rnacentral:lncRNA from 1 species